GAGUUGUAGCGUCCCCUGGGGUCUGUUCUGGAGGAGGCCUGAGAGCGGGGUUGCCUGGGGCGUGGGUCUCUCAUCCCUCUCGUCCUGGUGAAGAAGAAUAGUAUACCCAGCGGCAGCUGGCUUGGCUUUUUCAGAGGAAACAGAGACUCUCAGACAUGAAUACUGUGACACUGACCACCAGGCCAACUUAACAUCAGCAGAUAUCCUGUCUCAGAUGAAGAGAAUGGCCUGUCCAGAAGACAGCCAAAUACAUCCUUCAAACAGACUUCACUGCAGGAGACAGAGUGGAUUCAUCCUGUAUUCUCCAUGUAGACUUCCAUCUUCAUGAGUACUCCAAGAAGAUGGUUCAGUUGACUAUUGCAAAGUCUCAGGUAUGUCUUUAUCAGCAGCAUGAAAAUGGACUAAUAGUACCAGUAGAGUGGGGCAUUGCUGAAAAGAUACCCGAAAAUGUGGAAGCAACUUUGGAACUGGGUGUUGAAAUAAUCUGGAGGGCUCAGAAGAAGAUAGGAAAAUGUAGGAAAGUUUGGAACCUCCUAGAGACUGUGAAUGGCAUUGACAAAAAUACUGAUAGUGAUAUGAACAAUAAGGUCCAGGCUGAGGUGGUCUCAGAUGGAGAUGAAGACCUUGUUGGGAACUGAAGUAAAGGUGACCCUUGUUAUGUUUUAGCAAGGAGACUGGCAGCAUUUCACCCUUGCCCUAGAGAUUUGUGGAACUUAGAGCUUGAGAGAGAUGACUUAGGGUAUCUGGUGGAAUAAAUUUCUAAGCAGCAAAGCAUUCAAAAGGUGACUUGGGUGCUGUUAAAAACAUUCUGUUUUAAAAGGGAAACAAGAGCAUAAGUGUGGAAAAUCUGCAGCCUGAUGAUGCAGUAGAAAAGAAAAACCCAUUUUUUUUAAGGAGAAAUUCAAGCUGGCUGCGGAAAUUUGCAUAAGCAGCAAGGAGCCUAAUGUU
rnacentral:antisense_RNA from 1 species